rnacentral:rRNA from 1 species
UACGGAGGAUCCGAGCGUUAUCCGGAUUUAUUGGGUUUAAAGGGUGCGCAGGCGGGAGAUUAAGUCGGCGGUGAAAUUUUGCAGCUCAACUGUAAAAGUGCCAUUGAUACUGGUUUUCUUGAGUAUGGAUGAAGUAGGCGGAAUUUGUGGUGUAGCGGUGAAAUGCAUAGAUAUCACGAGGAACUCCGAUUGCGCAGGCAGCUUACUAAACUACUACUGACGCUCAGGCACGAAGGCGUGGGGAUCAAACAAGAUUAGAUACCCCU